CUGGCUCCUAUUGUUUUCAGCCAAAGCUGCAGGAUCUGUACCAUGAAAAAGACACAAAACUUAAAACAUCUGUGAGCUACUGGUACAACAACUGAGUUUUGUGGUGUGCCGUUGUGUCCAGUAAUUAGCCGGUACCAUCCAGUGCUUAGUUUUUUCAUUUUCCUGCUGAUAUCAAGGCGACAGCGGACUGUAGCCAAAACUUAGCCACUACAGCUAACACGCAGUUUGUAGCUGCCUGCUAUUUCAAAGCUUGACGAUAUUGAAGAUCCAGUGUCAGAAAUGGGAAGACGGAAGUUAAAAGGAAGCUGUACGAGCUUCGUUCACUGGAAUAAUGUGUUGGAGGAAAAUAAUGCCAGACGAAAUCCAUUGCUACGGGAACAGGCUGAGAACAGAGGCAGCGAUUCGACACAAGGUUUGCAUCGUAACACCUCGUGAUGCGUUUCUGAGCCAUGAUCGCUGUGCUGAUUACCUUUCCAUUGGAUCCAAGCACCUGGACCAGCUGACGGUGUCCAUCAGUCCACUGACUGCCGGAUCAUCACAACGUGGACUAACUUUUUAUUUACUUGGUUAAACUAUGAUCUGGAAACCGGAGCACCAGAUAUGCAAAAAUCUACCUGCAGACUUUGUUGGCAGACAAAGUCUGCAUGUAGACACUGCAGACUUUGACACUGCAGUCAUCUUGGACGGGGCUGAGCCGGGCUUCCUCUCCUCCAGAGUGAUGAGUUUUCAUUACCAGUAAAGGCAAACAAGUCUGAUGUCUGAUUAGCUGCUAGGAAGUAUAUUAUAUAUUCACUGUUCAUUUUGCUAUCCUGUUUGUACCUACAAUAAAAUUGAAUCUCAUUUGUAAUACUCUA